UACGUAGGGGGCAAGCGUUGUCCGGAUUCAUUGGGCGUAAAGAGCGUGUAGGCGGCCAGGUAGGUCGGUUGUGAAAACUGGAGGCUCAACCUUCAGAGGUCGACCGAAACCAUCUGGCUAGAGUCCGGGAGAGGAGAGUGGAAUUCCGUGGUGUAGCGGUGAAAUGCGCAGAUAUCAGGAAGAACACCCGUGGCGAAAGCGGCUCUCUGGAACGGUACUGACGCUG
rnacentral:rRNA from 1 species